rnacentral:rRNA from 1 species
AGGAAGAGCUCUCUUCCUCUACCACUCUGCUCGNNNNNNNNGCUAAUACAUGCCAACGAGCGCCGACCCGGUCCCCCCGGGGGCCGGGGACGCGUGCAUUUAUCAGAUCCAAAACCCAUCCGGGUGCGGCGUGGGCUCCCCCUUCGGGGGUCGGGCCUCGUCCCCCGGCCGCUUUGGUGACUCUAGAUAACCUCGGGCCGAUCGCGCGCCCUCCGCGGCGGCGACGAUUCAUUCGAAUGUCUGCCCUAUCAACUUUCGAUGGUACUUUAGGCGCCUACCAUGGUGACCACGGGUAACGGGGAAUCAGGGUUCGAUUCCGGAGAGGGAGCCUGAGAAACGGCUACCACAUCCAAGGAAGGCAGCAGGCGCGCAAAUUACCCAUUCCCGACACGGGGAGGUAGUGACGAAAAAUAACAAUACAGGUCUCUUUCGAGGCCCUGUAAUUGGAAUGAGCGUAUCCUAAACCCAUGGGCGAGGACCCAUUGGAGGGCAAGUCUGGUGCCAGCAGCCGCGGUAAUUCCAGCUCCAAUAGCGUAUAUUAAAGUUGCUGCAGUUAAAAAGCUCGUAGUUGGAUCUCGGGAGUGGGCUGGCGGUCCGCCGCGAGGCGAGCCACCGCCUGUCCCGGACCCUGCCUCCCGGCGCCCCCCGGAUGCCCUUAGCUGGGUGUCCGGUACCUCGGGGCCCGGAGCGUUUACUUUGAAAAAAUUAGAGUGUUCAAAGCAGGCCGCCCAGCCGCCGCUGAAUACCGCAGCUAGGAAUAAUGGAAUAGGACUCCGGUUCUAUUUUGUGGGUUUCUGGAACCCGGGGCCAUGAUUGAGAGGGACGGCCGGGGGCAUUCGUAUUGCGCCGCUAGAGGUGAAAUUCUUGGACCGGCGCAAGACGGACGAAAGCGAAAGCAUUUGCCAAGAAUGUUUUCAUUAAUCAAGAACGAAAGUCGGAGGUUCGAAGACGAUCAGAUACCGUCGUAGUUCCGACCGUAAACGAUGCCGACCCGCGAUCCGGCGGCGUUAUUCCCAUGACCCGCCGGGCAGCGUGCGGGAAACCACGAGUCUUUGGGUUCCGGGGGGAGUAUGGUUGCAAAGCUGAAACUUAAAGGAAUUGACGGAAGGGCACCACCAGGAGUGGAGCCUGCGGCUUAAUUUGACCCAACACGGGAAAACUCACCCGGCCCGGACACUGGAAGGAUUGACAGAUUGAGAGCUCUUUCUUGAUUCAGUGGGUGGUGGUGCAUGGCCGUUCUUAGUUGGUGGAGUGAUUUGUCUGGUUAAUUCCGAUAACGAACGAGACUCUAGCCUACUAAAUAGAUCUUGGCAUUUUUUAACUGUCAAGAAUGCUUCUUAGAGGGACAAACGGCGUUUCAGCCGUAUGAAAAAGAGCAAUAACAGGUCUGUGAUGCCCUUAGAUGUCCGGGGCUGCACGCGCGCUACACUGAAGAGAUCAACGCGCAUCUGCUUCCUACUCCGAAAGGAGCGGGAAACCGAGUGAACCUUUUUCGUGCUUGGGAUUGGGAAUUGUAAUUAUUUUCCAUGAACGAGGAAUUCCCAGUAAGCACAAGUCAUCAGCUUGUGUUGAUUACGUCCCUGCCCUUUGUACACACCGCCCGUCGCUACUACCGAUUGGAUGUUUUAGUGAGGUCUUCGGACCGGCCGGCGCAACGGCUUUCGGGUUGUCACGCUGCGCUAGAAAGAUGACCAAACUUGAACAUCUAGAGGAAGUAAAAGUCGUAACAAGGUUUCCG